UACGAAGGGGGCUAGCGUUGCUCGGAAUCACUGGGCGUAAAGCGCACGUAGGCGGCUUUUUAAGUCAGGGGUGAAAUCCUGGAGCUCAACUCCAGAACUGCCUUUGAUACUGAAAAGCUUGAGUCCGGGAGAGGUGAGUGGAACUGCGAGUGUAGAGGUGAAAUUCGUAGAUAUUCGCAAGAACACCAGUGGCGAAGGCGGCUCACUGGCCCGGUACUGACGCUGAGGUGCGAAAGCGUGGGGAGCAAACAGGG
rnacentral:rRNA from 1 species